rfam:Nitrosospira sp. Nsp11 genome assembly, contig: Ga0111721_102
GAAAGCCGUAUGCGGGAAAACCGCAUACACGGUUUUAGGAGGGAGGGCAGGCGGAAGUCUUUUCUCUACUCUAC